UACGGGGGGUGCGAGCGUUGUCCGGAAUCACUGGGCGUAAAGGCGCGUAGGUGGCCUGAUAAGGGUGUGGUGAAAGUCCGGGGCUCAACCCCGGAUCUGCCGUGCCGACUGUUAGGCUAGAGUACUGUAGGGGCAGGCGGAAUUCCGGGUGUAGCGGUGGAAUGCGUAGAGAUCCGGAGGAAGACCGGUGGCGAAGGCGGCCUGCUGGGCAGUUACUGACACUGAGGCGCGACAGCGUGGGGAGCAAAAGGG
rnacentral:rRNA from 1 species